CGGACUGAGUAGAGCGGCGGACGGGUGAGUAACGCGUAGGAAUCUACCUGGUAGUGGGGGAUAACUUGGGGAAACUCAAGCUAAUACCGCAUACGACCUAAGGGUGAAAGGGGGGGAUCUUUGGACCUUUCGCUAUCAGAUGAGCCUGCGUAAGAUUAGCUAGUUGGUAGGGUAAAGGCCUACCAAGGCGACGAUCUUUAGCUGGUCUGAGAGGAUGAUCAGCCACACUGGGACUGAGACACGGCCCAGACUCC
rnacentral:rRNA from 1 species